rnacentral:tRNA from 1 species
GAGGGUGUAGCUCAGUUAUAAGAGUGUGUGCUUAGCAUGCAUGAGGUCCUGAGUUCAAUCCCCAGUACCUCCA